GACGAACGCUGGCGGCGUGCUUAACACAUGCAAGUCGAACGGUAAGGCCCUUCGGGGUACACGAGUGGCGAACGGGUGAGUAACACGUGGGUGAUCUGCCCUGCACUUCGGGAUAAGCCUGGGAAACUGGGUCUAAUACCGGAUAGGACCACUGCCUGCUAGGCUGGUGGGCGAAGGCUUUUGCGGUGUGGGAUGGGCCCGCGGCCUAUCAGCUUGUUGGUGGGGUGAUGGCCUACCAAGGCGACGACGGGUAGCCGGCCUGAGAGGGUGACCGGCCACACUGGGACUGAGAUACGGCCCAGACUCCUACGGGAGGCAGCAGUGGGGAAUAUUGCACAAUGGGCGCAAGCCUGAUGCAGCGACGCCGCGUGAGGGAUGACGGCCUUCGGGUUGUAAACCUCUUUCAGCAUCGACGAAGCGCAAGUGACGGUAGGUGCAGAAGAAGGACCGGCCAACUACGUGCCAGCCGCCGCCGUAA
rnacentral:rRNA from 1 species